CAUUGUAGGCUUUGGAAACUGUUUAACUUGAGUGCAGAAGGGGAGAGUGGAAUUCCAUGUGUAGCGGUGAAAUGCGUAGAUAUAUGGAGGAACACCGGUGGCGAAAGCGGCUCUCUGGUCUGUAACUGACGCUGAGGCUCGAAAGCGUGGGGAGCGAACAGGAUUAGAUACCCUGGUAGUCCACGCCGUAAACGAUGAGUGCUAGGUGUUAGGUCCUUUCCGGGACUUAGUGCCGCAGCUAACGCAUUAAGCACUCCGCCUGGGGAGUACGACCGCAAGGUUGAAACUCAAAGGAAUUGACGGGGGCCCGCACAAGCGGUGGAGCAUGUGGUUUAAUUCGAAGCAACGCGAAGAACCUUACCAGGUCUUGACAUCCCGAUGCCCGCUCUAGAGAUAGAGCUUUACUUCGGUACAUCGGUGACAGGUGGUGCAUGGUUGUCGUCAGCUCGUGUCGUGAGAUGCUGGGUUAAGUCCCGCAACGAGCGCAACCCUUAUUGUUAGUUGCCAUCAUUCAGUUGGGCACUCUAGCGAGACUGCCGGUAAUAAACCGGAGGAAGGUGGGGAUGACGUCAAAUCAUCAUGCCCCUUAUGACCUGGGCUACACACGUGCUACAAUGGCUGGUACAACGAGUCGCAAGCCGGUGACGGCAAGCUAAUCUCUGAAAGCCAGUCUCAGUUCGGAUUGUAGGCUGCAACUCGCCUACAUGAAGUCGGAAUCGCUAGUAAUCGCGGAUCAGCACGCCGCGGUGAAUACGUCCCGGGCCUUGUACACACCG
rnacentral:rRNA from 1 species